rnacentral:rRNA from 1 species
ACUCCUACGGGAGGCAGCAGUGGGGAAUAUUGCACAAUGGGCGCAAGCCUGAUGCAGCCAUGCCGCGUGUAUGAAGAAGGCCUUCGGGUUGUAAAGUACUUUCAGCAGUGAGGAAGGUGGGUAUGUUAAUAGCAUAUUCUAUUUGACGUUAGCUGCAGAAGAAGCACCGGCUAACUCCGUGCCAGCAGCCGCGGUAAUACGGAGGGUGCGAGCGUUAAUCGGAAUUACUGGGCGUAAAGCGCAUGCAGGUGGUUUGUUAAGUCAGAUGUGAAAGCCCGGGGCUCAACCUCGGAAUUGCAUUUGAAACUGGCAAACUAGAGUACUGUAGAGGGGGUAGAAUUUCAGGUGUAGCGGUGAAAUGCGUAGAGAUCUGAAGGAUACCGGUGGCGAAGGCGGCCCCUGGACAGAUACUGACACUCAGAUGCGAAAGCGUGGGAGCAAACAGGAUUAGAUACCCCGUGGUAGGACAGUG